UACGUAGGGUGCGAGCGUUGUCCGGAAUUAUUGGGCGUAAAGGGCUCGUAGGCGGUUUGUCGCGUCGGGAGUGAAAACCUCGGGCUUAACUCGGGGCUUGCUUUCGAUACGGGGCAGACUGGAGGUAUGCAGGGGAGAACGGAAUUCCUGGUGUAGCGGUGAAAUGCGCAGAUAUCAGGAGGAACACCGGUGGCGAAGGCGGUUCUCUGGGCAUGACCUGACGCUGAGGAGCGAAAGUGUGGGGAGCGAACAGG
rnacentral:rRNA from 1 species